UACGUAGGGUGCAAGCGUUGUCCGGAAUUAUUGGGCGUAAAGAGCUCGUAGGCGGUCUGUCGCGUCAGGAGUGAAAGCUCGGGGCUUAACCCCGAGCCUGCUUCUGAUACGGGCAGACUAGAGGUAUGCAGGGGAGAACGGAAUUCCUGGUGUAGCGGUGAAAUGCGCAGAUAUCAGGAGGAACACCGGUGGCGAAGGCGGUUCUCUGGGCAUUACCUGACGCUGAGGAGCGAAAGUGUGGGGAGCGAACAGG
rnacentral:rRNA from 1 species